rnacentral:rRNA from 1 species
AUUGAACGCUGGCGGCAGGCUUAACACAUGCAAGUCGAGCGGGGGAAGGUAGCUUGCUACCGAACCUAGCGGCGGACGGGUGAGUAAUGCUUAGGAAUCUGCCUAUUAGUGGGGACAACAUCUCGAAAGGGAUGCUAAUACCGCAUACGUCCUAUGGGAGAAAGCAGGGGAUCUUCGGACCUUGCGCUAAUAGAUGAGCCUAAGUCGGAUUAGCUAGUUGGUGGGGUAAAGGCCUACAAAGGCGACGAUCUGUAGCGGGUCUGAGAGGAUGAUCCGCCACCCUGGGACUGAGACACGGCCCAGACUCCUACGGGAGGCAGCAGUGGGGAAUAUUGGACAAGGGGGGGAACCCUGAUCCAGCCAUGCCGCGUGUGUGAAGAAGGCCUUAUGGUUGUAAAGCACUUUAAGCGAGGAGGAGGCUACUUUAGUUAAUACCUAGAGAUAGUGGACGUUACUCGCAGAAUAAGCACCGGCUAACUCUGUGCCAGCAGCCGCCGUAA